rnacentral:lncRNA from 10 species
UCUGCCAUGUACUAGGGAUAAUUGGGGACAACAAAACCUGCCUGGCCCCUGCCUGCAUGGAGCAUAUAGUCUAGAUGGAAAGAAAAAAAAGUAAACAAAACUGAUAAUGAGUAGAAAGUGAUAUGAGGAUAGAGGUGGCUUUAAGAACACAGGAAGAGGAAUCUACACUAGUCUGGACAUCAAGGGUCAGGGAAGGGCUCCCAGGGAAAGUGAUGGGAUAACAGCUGAGGAAUAAGUGGCUAUUAGCCAGAAAGGGGCGGCGGGGGGCGGGGGGUUCUAGUCGUGAGAAGCAACAUGUGUGAACGGCCAUAGGAUGACGGUGGUGCAAACAUAGACCUGCAAGAAGAUGUAUUUGCUGGAGAUUGGGAGCACCUGAAAUUGUGGCCACAUCUUGGAGAACUCCAAAAAAUUUGCAAGAAGAAAUUGACGCCUUAGAAUCCAGAGUGGAAUCAAUUCAGCGAGUGUUAGCAGAUUUGAAAGUUCAGUUGUAUGCAAAAUUCGGGAGCAACAUAAACCUUGAAGCUGAUGAAAGUUAAACAUUUUAUAAUACUUUUUUUAUUUGUUUAAUAAACUUGAAUAUUGUUUAAAA